rnacentral:sRNA from 1 species
GUGGAAUUCAACCCCAACUUCGUGGCGCGUAUGAUACCUAAAGUGGAGUGGUCGGCGUUCCUGGAGGCGGCCGAUAACGUGAGGAUCCUUACCCCGCCCCAGCAUAUCCCGGGGAAUGCGGGGCGGGCACACCUCAGCCGGGCUGAGGCGGGAGUUCGGGAUGCCCGGAGAUAAUUUCGGUCUCUUGCCCACAGUUGCGCCUGAUCCAGGUGCCUAAAGGGCCGGUUGAGGGAUAUGAGGAGAAUGAGGAGUUUCUGAGGACCAUGCACCACCUGCUGCUGGAGGUGGAAGUGAUAGAGGGCACCCUGCAGUGCCCGGAAUCUGGACGUAUGUUCCCCAUCAGCCGCGGGAUCCCCAACAUGCUGCUGAGUGAAGAGGAAACUGAGAGUUGAUUGUGCCAGGCGCCAGUUUUUCUUGUUAUGACUGUGUAUUUUUGUUGAUCUAUACCCUGUUUCCGAAUUCUGCCGUGUGUAUCCCCAACCCUUGACCCAAUGACACCAAACACAGUGUUCUUGAGCUCGAUAUUAUAUAUUUUUUUCUCAUUAAAGGUUUAAAACCA